GGUAAUGCCGGAUGCUCCAGUUGAUCGCAUGGUCUUCUGGGAAAGCUUUCGCGGUAUGGGAUGGGGUCGCGUCCUAUCAGCUUGACGGCGGGGUAACGGCCCACCGUGGCUUCGACGGGUAGCCGGCCUGAGAGGGCGACCGGCCACAUUGGGACUGAGAUACGGCCCAGACUCCUACGGGAGGCAGCAGUGGGGAAUAUUGCACAAUGGGCGCAAGCCUGAUGCAGCGACGCCGCGUGAGGGAUGGAGGCCUUCGGGUUGUAAACCUCUUUUAUCGGGGAGCAAGCGAGAGUGAGUUUACCCGUUGAAUAAGCACCGGCUAACUACGUGCCAGCAGCCGCGGUAAUACGUAGGGUGCAAGCGUUAUCCGGAAUUAUUGGGCGUAAAGGGCUCGUAGGCGGUUCGUCGCGUCCGGUGUGAAAGUCCAUCGCUUAACGGUGGAUCCGCGCCGGGUACGGGCGGGCUUGAGUGCGGUAGGGGAGACUGGAAUUCCCGGUGUAACGGUGGAAUGUGUAGAUAUCGGAAAAAAAACACCA
rnacentral:rRNA from 2 species